AUGAACGUUGGCGGCGUGGAUUAGGCAUGCAAGUCGAACGCUUCCCAUGUAGCAAUACAUGGGAGGAGUGGCGUAAGGGAGAGUAAUCCAUGGUUAGCUACCCUCGGGUCUGGGAUAGCGGCGGGAAACUGCCGGUAAUACCAGAUGACAUCUUCGGAUCAAAGGUGUGAUUCCGCCCGGGGAGGCGACCGUGUCCUAUCAGCUAGUUGGCGGUGUAAUAGACCACCAAGGCUAAGACGGGUAUGGGGCGUGAGAGCGUGCCCCCACUCACUGGGACUGAGACACUGCCCAGACACCUACGGGUGGCUGCAGUCGAGAAUCUUCGGCAAUGGGCGCAAGCCUGACCGAGCGACGCCGCGUGCGGGAUGACGGCCUUCGGGUUGUAAACCGCUUUCAGUUCCGACGAAGCGCAAGUGACGGUAGGAACAGAAGAAGGACCGGCCAACUACGUGCCAGCAGCCGCGGUGAUACGUAGGGUCCGAGCGUUGUCCGGAAUUAUUGGGCGUAAAGGGCUUGUAGGCGGUUUGUCACGUCGGAAGUGAAAACUCAGGGCUUAACCCUGAGCCGGCUUCCGAUACGGGCAAACUAGAGGAAUGCAGGGGAGAAUGGAAUUCCUGGUGGAGCGGUGGAAUGCGCAGAUAUCAGGAGGAACACCGGUGGCGAAGGCGGUUCUCUGGGCAUUUCCUGACGCUGAGAAGCGAAAGCGUGGGGAGCAAACAGGCUUAGAUACCCUGGUAGUCCACGCCGUAAACGGUGGGCACUAGGUGUGGGGAACAUUCCACGUUCUCCGUGCCGAAGCUAACGCAUUAAGUGCCCCGCCUGGGGAGUACGGCCGCAAGGCUAAAGCUCAAAGGAAUUGACGGGGGCCCGCACAAGCGGCGGAGCAUGCGGAUUAAUUCGAUGCAACGCGAAGAACCUUACCUGGGUUUGACAUAUACCGGAAAGCUGCAGAGAUGUAGCCCCCGCAAGGUCGGUAUACAGGUGGUGCAUGGCUGUCGUCAGCUCGUGUCGUGAGAUGUUGGGUUAAGUCCCGCAACGAGCGCAACCCUCGUCCUAUGUUGCCAGCGGAUAAUGCCGGGGACUCAUAGGAGACUGCCGGGGUCAACUCGGAGGAAGGUGGGGAUGACGUCAAGUCAUCAUGCCCCUUAAGUCCAGGGCUUCACGCAUGCUACAAUGGCUGGUACAAAGGGCUGCGACACCGCACGGUCGAGCGAAUCCCAAAAAGCCAGUCUCAGUUCGGAUUGGGGUCUGCAACUCGACCCCAUGAAGUCGGAGUCGCUAGUAAUCGCAGAUCAGCAACGCUGCGGUGAUACCUUCCCGGGCGUGUACACACCG
rnacentral:rRNA from 1 species